UACGAAGGGGGCGAGCGUUGUUCGGAUUUACUGGGCGUAAAGGGCGCGCAGGCGGCCGGCCAAGUCAGGCGUGAAAGCCCCGGGCUUAACCUGGGAAUUGCGUCUGGGACUGGUUGGCUAGAGAUCGGGAGAGGAGAGUGGAAUUCCCAGUGUAGAGGUGAAAUUCGUAGAUAUUGGGAAGAACACCGGUGGCGAAGGCGGCUCUCUGGACCGAUACUGACGCUGAGGCGCGAAAAGCGUGGGGAGCGAACAGG
rnacentral:rRNA from 1 species